rnacentral:rRNA from 1 species
GAUGAACGCUGGCGGCGUGCCUAAUACAUGCAAGUCGAGCGAACGGACGAGAGGCUUGCUUCUCUGAUGUUAGCGGCGGACGGGUGAGUAACACGUGGAUAACCUACCUAUAAGACUGGGAUAACUUCGGGAAACCGGAGCUAAUACCGGAUAAUAUUUUGAACCGCAUGGUUCAAAAGUGAAAGACGGUCUUGCUGUCACUUAUAGAUGGAUCCGCGCUGCAUUAGCUAGUUGGUAAGGUAACGGCUUACCAAGGCAACGAUGCAUAGCCGACCUGAGAGGGUGAUCGGCCACCCUGGAACUGAGACACGGUCCAGACUCCUACGGGAGGCAGCAGUAGGGAAUCUUCCGCAAUGGGCGAAAGCCUGACGGAGCAACGCCGCGUGAGUGAUGAAGGUCUUCGGAUCGUAAAACUCUGUUAUUAGGGAAGAACAGAUGUGUAAGUAACUGUGCACAUCUUGACGGUACCUAAUCAGAAAGCCACGGCUAACUACGUG